GAUGAACGCUGGCGGCGUGCCUAAUACAUGCAAGUCGAGCGAACGGACGAGAAGCUUGCUUCUCUGAUGUUAGCGGCGGACGGGUGAGUAACACGUGGAUAACCUACCUAUAAGACUGGGAUAACUUCGGGAAACCGGAGCUAAUACCGGAUAAUUUUUUGAACCGCAUGGUUCAAAAGUGAAAGACGGUCUUGCUGUCACUUAUAGAUGGAUCCGCGCUGCAUUAGCUAGUUGGUAAGGUAACGGCUUACCAAGGCAACGAUGCAUAGCCGACCUGAGAGGGUGAUCGGCCACACUGGAACGGAGACACGGUCCAGACUCCUACGGGAGGCAGCAGUAGGGAAUCUUCCGCAAUGGGCGAAAGCCUGACGGAGCAACGCCGCGUGAGUGAUGAAGGUCUUCGGAUCGUAAAACUCUGUUAUUAGGGAAGAACAUAUGUGUAAGUAACUGUGCACAUCUUGACGGUACCUAAUCAGAAAGCCACGGCUAACUACGUG
rnacentral:rRNA from 1 species